rnacentral:rRNA from 1 species
UACGUAGGGGGGCAAGCGUUAUCCGGAAUUAUUGGGCGUAAAGAGCUCGUAGGCGGUUUGUCGCGUCUGCUGUGAAAACUGGAGGCUCAACCUCCAGCCUGCAGUGGGUACGGGCAAACUAGAGUGCGGUAGGGGAGAUUGGAAUUCCUGGUGUAGCGGUGGAAUGCGCAGAUAUCAGGAGGAACACCGAUGGCGAAGGCAGAUCUCUGGGCCGUAACUGACGCUGAGGAGCGAAAGCGUGGGGAGCGAACAGG